GCACACUAGCCAUUGAUACUGAUCCUAGCUAUAUAACACACUCAGGGCGCUAUCUUGAUUCUUGACAGCUAGAAAAUUGGUUUUCCUGUUUCCUUGACAGGUUUAUCUGAUAUUUGUCAGUAAUGAUGACACACCUGUCAAUGUAAUGAUGACACACCUCAGUGUCAUCCACCUUGUCCCAAGAGUACAUGGCAAGCAUGCCCAUUGUUCUCUCCACCAUUGUAUCACGCCCGGCCGAAGAGUAGAUGUGUCUGGGCGAUAACUAUAAUUACAGUUCCCAAGAAUGGCUUACACUGCCUACUAGUUACUAGCUACUAGUACAGGUGUAUACCUUCUGACCGUAGCCACCCAGACCUGAUGCAUGCGAGUCAUGAAUAGAAGACUGUACCUGCCCAACUGCUUGCCUGCCUUUCAGUGCAGGUAGUGCAUGUAUUGGUGUUGGAUUUGUGCAGACAGUUUAGCAAUGGCAAGCAAAACCGGCCGCCGCCAACUGUUGCUCAUGCCCAUGGCAUCGUUCUCAUCAUUGCUACAUGUUUUCCAGGCAGGUGACUGUAGCAGGUCACUAGCAGAUGUGGCACAGAAGUCAUUGUAACUGCAUGGCUGUUACGUCUCUCUCUCUCUCUCUCUCUCUCUCUCUCUCUCUCUCUCUCUCUCUCUCUCUCUCUCUCUCUCCUCCCAAGCCUGAACACACAUGAUCAUGUGAAGGAGAAUUGAAUGGACUGCUACAUCAUCACCAGCAGCGGCGGCGACGGUACCAACAAAAGCAGUAGCAACAGCUGCAGAAGACGAAGGACGAUUUCCCCCGAGUUCCUUCAGAGAGGGACACACCAUAGCAGCUGCAACGAAGACGGCACUAGUGUUGUGCAUUCAUGUUGCUUGCCAUUGCCAAUGCACACGCCAAUUUACGUCUGAAUCCUGGCUUCCGCCGUUGUCACGGUCAUUGUUGGCAAGGCAUCAAUACCGAAGUCGUACUGUUGGUAAGGCAUCAAUACCACCAAAGUCGUACUGUUGGUAAGGCAUCAAUACCGAAGUCGUACUGUUGGUAAGGCAUCAAUACCGAAGUUGUACUGUUGGUAAGGCAUCAAUACCGAAGUUGUACUGUUGGUCCAGACCCAGGUAGCAGUCACUCAUGACGUACACUGUGUAGAUGUGACGACCAGGCUUCUCCGGUGCCAGCAAGUUGAUAUUCACCGUCUGAGUGCCACGGAAGAAGCCAACACGUUUCAGUGCCAGCAGCUCUCCGGUGUCUGCUUCACCGAUUGCCAGCCACCAACCUUCGUCUUUGACCUUGCCAAAUCUUGGAGUUACGGCCCUGGACUCCGGUCGCUAAGGAAAUUAAAACCGCAACCAACACACAUUAUUAUUAUUAGAUUUGGUUAGGAUAAAUUAACUGACCAUGUACAUCAGGUGAAGCCAUCUAACAAUUCACGGAUAUCAAAACCCUACCUGCAAGAUAAAAAUCAAAUUGAUACCUAGAUUAUUAUACAGUCAGACCUCGCUUAUCCGGUCCUCUUUUAUCCGGAUCCCUCGCCAUCCGGAAGAAAAUAGCUGGUUACAUAUUUACAGCAUACGUGAUGCAUCCAACAUAAACGGUGUUCGGUUAUCUGGUUCCCUCGCCUAUCCGGAUGUUUUUGUGGAAAACAGAUGUGUGCGGUUAUGCGAGGUCUGACUGUACUUCACUGAAUGAGUUUUAGUUAUUAAUUAUUUUGAAAGAACUAUGUAGUAGGGCAUGAUGUUCAUACUAUUUACUGUCGGGUAUAAAACAUUCGAUUUAGAAUCAA